UAGGGAAUCUUCGGCAAUGGACGGAAGUCUGACCGAGCAACGCCGCGUGAGUGAAGAAGGUUUUCGGAUCGUAAAGCUCUGUUGUAAGAGAAGAACGAGUGUGAGAGUGGAAAGUUCACACUGUGACGGUAUCUUACCAGAAAGGGACGGCUAACUACGUGCCAGCAGCCGCGGUAAUACGUAGGUCCCGAGCGUUGUCCGGAUUUAUUGGGCGUAAAGCGAGCGCAGGCGGUUAGAUAAGUCUGAAGUUAAAGGCUGUGGCUUAACCAUAGUAGGCUUUGGAAACUGUUUAACUUGAGUGCAAGAGGGGAGAGUGGAAUUCCAUGUGUAGCGGUGAAAUGCGUAGAUAUAUGGAGGAACACCGGUGGCGAAAGCGGCUCUCUGGCUUGUAACUGACGCUGAGGCUCGAAAGCGUGGGGAGCAAACAGGAUUGGAUACCCUGGUAGUCCACGCUGUAAACGAUGAGUGCUAGGUGUUAGACCCUUUCCGGGGUUUAGUGCCGUAGCUAACGCAUUAAGCACUCCGCCUGGGGAGUACGACCGCAAGGUUG
rnacentral:rRNA from 1 species